UACGAAGGGGGCGAGCGUUGUUCGGAUUUACUGGGCGUAAAGGGCGCGUAGGCGGCCACCGCAAGUCGAUUGUGAAAUCUCCGGGCUUAACCCGGAAAGGUCAACCGAUACUGCGGGGCUAGAGUGCAGAAGGGGCAACUGGAAUUCUCGGUGUAGCGGUGAAAUGCGUAGAUAUCGAGAGGAACACCGGUGGCGAAGGCGGCGACCUGGGUCGAUACUGACGCUGAUGCGCGAAAGCGUGGGGAGCAAACAGG
rnacentral:rRNA from 1 species